GGCGCCAUGGCUUAGUGGUAAAUCGCCUGUCUUGUAAACAGGAGAUCCUGGGUUCGAUCCCCAGUGGUGCCU
rnacentral:tRNA from 1 species